UACGGGGGGGGCAAGCGUUGUUCGGAAUUACUGGGCGUAAAGGGCUCGUAGGCGGCCCUCUCAGUCGGAUGUGAAAUCCCCAGGCUCAACUUGGGAACGGCAUCCGAUACUGGAGGGCUUGAAUUCGGGAGAGGGAUGCAGAAUUCCAGGUGUAGCGGUGAAAUGCGUAGAUAUCUGGAGGAAUACCGGUGGCGAAGGCGGCAGUCCUGGACCGAGAUUGACGCUGAGGAGCGAAAGCUAGGGGAGCAAACGGG
rnacentral:rRNA from 1 species